rnacentral:rRNA from 1 species
UACGAAGGGAGCUAGCGUUGUUCGGAAUUACUGGGCGUAAAGGGCGCGUAGGCGGGUUUCCAAGUCGGGGGUGAAAUUCCAGGGCUCAACCCUGGGACGGCCUUCGAUACUGGGAGCCUGGAGAUCGGGAGAGGUGAGUGGAAUUCCGAGUGUAGAGGUGAAAUUCGUAGAUAUUCGGAAGAACACCAGUGGCGAAGGCGGCUCACUGGCCCGUUACCGACGCUCAGGCGCGACAGCGUGGGGAGCAAACAGG